GAUGAAUGCUGGCGGCGUGCCUAACACAUGCAAGUCGAGCGGCAGCGAGGGGUGCUUGCACCGUGUCGGCGAGCGGCGCACGGCUGAGUAACGCGUGGGAAUUUGCCCCAAAGUGAGGAAUAACUGCGCGAAAGGGUAGCUAAUGCCGCAUAGAGUCUUCGGUGUAAAGGAUUUAUCCGCUUUGGGCGAAGCCUGCGUUGGAUUAGGUUGGUGGUAGGGUAAUGGCUUACCAAGCCGACGACCCAUAGCUGGUCUGAGAGGAUGAUCAGCCAGACUGGAACUGAGACACAGUCCAGAAUGCUACGGAAGGGAGCAGUGAGGUAUCUUCCACAAGGGGCGCAAGUCUGAUGGCGCCACGCGGCGUGAAGGAUGCAGGCCUUCGGGUUGUAAUCUUCUUUUAUGCGUGAAGAAUAUGACGGUAACUCAUGAAUAAGCACCGGCUAACUACGUG
rnacentral:rRNA from 1 species